UCCACAUAAAUGGGGGAUUUGCGAAGAGAAAACGCAUCAUUUUCACGUUAAAUGGGGGAUUCUCGAAGAGAAAACGUGUGGUUUUCGGGUUAAAUGUUGGAUUCUCGAAGAGAAAACGCAUGGUUUUCGGGUUAAAUGGGGGAUUUGCGAAGAGAAAACGCCUGAUUUUCGCUUAAAUGGGGGAUUCGCGAAAAGAAAACGCGUGAUUUUCGCUUAAAUGGGGGACUUGAAAGAGAAAACGUGUCAUUUACACGUUAAAUGGAGGAUUAUCGAAGAGAAAACGUGAUUUUCGCAUAAAUGUGUGAUUUGCGAAGAGAAAACGUGUGAUUUUCGCACAAAUGGGGGAUUUGAGAAAACGCGUAUUUACGUUAAAUGUUGGUUUCUCGAAGAGAAA
ensembl:lncRNA